rnacentral:rRNA from 1 species
AAACGUAGGGGGCAAGCGUUGUCCGGAAUUACUGGGUGUAAAGGGCGCGUAGGCGGUUCCUUAAGUCAGGUGUGAAAGACCGAGGCUUAACUUCGGGUGUGCACUUGAAACUAGGGAGCUUGAGUGUGGGAGAGGAAAGUGGAAUUCUCGGUGGAGCGGUGAAAUGCGUAGAUAUCGGGAGGAACACCAGUGGCGAAGGCGGCUUUCUGGCCCACAACUGACGCUGAGGCGCGAAAGCUGGGGGAGCAAACAGGAUUAGAGACCCUGGUAGUCCCAGCUAUAAACGAUGGAUACUAGGUGUGGGGGGUUCGACCCCCUCUGUGCCGCAGUUAACGCAUUAAGUAUCCCAUCUGGGGAGUACGGCCGCAAGGCUAAAACUCAAAUGAAUUGACGGGG